ACUCUUCAACCCUUCAGUUCCUUGUGAACUGUCAAGGUGUUUGGAUUUUGAAUGUUGCUGGUCCUUGCGGACGUAGCUCAUUCGUAAUACAUUAGCAACUCAAUUUCGUACAUUCGGAUUGACUCGGCGUAAUAGACUUAUUCGCUGAGGACACUUUUACUAGUGGCCGAAUUUCGAGGUAGUAGCUUCUAACUUGAUCUCUAAGUCAAAUUUUAAGAU
rnacentral:misc_RNA from 1 species